UGGUGGANNNNNNNGGUUUAAUUCGAUGCAACGCGAAGAACCUUACCUACUCUUGACAUCCACAGAAUUCGGCAGAGAUGCCUUAGUGCCUUCGGGAACUGUGAGACAGGUGCUGCAUGGCUGUCGUCAGCUCGUGUUGUGAAAUGUUGGGUUAAGUCCCGCAACGAGCGCAACCCUUAUCCUUUGUUGCCAGCACGUAAUGGUGGGAACUCAAAGGAGACUGCCGGUGAUAAACCGGAGGAAGGUGGGGAUGACGUCAAGUCAUCAUGGCCCUUACGAGUAGGGCUACACACGUGCUACAAUGGCGUAUACAAAGAGAAGCGAACUCGCGAGAGCCAGCGGACCUCAUAAAGUACGUCGUAGUCCGGAUCGGAGUCUGCAACUCGACUCCGNGAAGUCNNANUCGC
rnacentral:rRNA from 1 species